rnacentral:rRNA from 1 species
UACGGAGGAUCCAAGCGUUAUCCGGAUUCAUUGGGUUUAAAGGGUGCGUAGGCGGAAUGAUAAGUCAGUGGUGAGAGCCUGCAGCUUAACUGCAGAACUGCCAUUGAUACUGUCAAUCUUGAGUAUAUUUGAUGUGGGCGGAAUGUGUCAUGUAGCGGUGAAAUGCUUAGAUAUGACACAGAACACCGAUUGCGAAGGCAGCUCACAAAAACUAUAACUGACGCUGAGGCACGAAAGCGUGGGUAUCAAACAGG